rnacentral:rRNA from 1 species
GAUGAACGCUAGCUACAGGCUUAACACAUGCAAGUCGAGGGACCGGCGCACGGGUGAGUAACACGUAUACAACCUGCCCUUUACUAGGGGAUAGCCUUUCGAAAGAACGAUUAAUACCCGAUAUAAAGGAUGGGGCUGCGUUCCAUUAGGUUGUUGGUGAGGUAAAGGCCCACCAAGCCUUCGAUGGAUAGGGGUUCUGGGAGUAAGGUCCACCACAUUGGAACUGAGACACGGACCAAACUCCUACGGGAGGAAGCAGUGAGGAAUAUUGGUCAAUGGGCGUUAGCCUGAACCAGCCAAGUAGAGUGAAGGAUGAAGGCUUAUGGGUCGUAAACUUCUUUUAUAUAAGAAUAUGUAUUAGAUGAAUAAGGAUCGGCUAACUCCGUGCCAGCCGCCGCGGUAAUAC